rnacentral:lncRNA from 1 species
AGUCACACUGACUGUAGAGGAACCUCGUAAAUUUUAUGUCUUGUUUAUUUAUUCCAUUGCACCCACCAUCAAUUUUACAACAUGUUAUCAGCACAAGAAGCUCUCAUGUUAGUGGAAAGCACAACGCCAUAAAUCCGGUGAAACAUUACCUACCUCCCACCUCUGCUAGCCAAAAAUCUCACAGAAUAAAAGGUAUGUCCAUUUUCUGUAUCUCCCACAGCGCCAGAAGCGCUUCGUCGAAUUUCGGUGAGAAUUGAAAUUUACAACGACCUGAAGUCGUCACGAGAUAAGAAAACUCGUACCUAACAACUGGUUUCCA